GGAGCCGUAGCGAAAGCGAGUUUUAACUGAGCGUUCAGUUACUUGACGUAGACCCGAAACCGGGCGACCUACCCAUGAGCAGGAUGAAGCGAAAGUAAAAUUUCGUGGAGGUCCGAACCCACGAGCGUUGAAAAGCUCGGGGAUGACUUGUGGGUAGCGGUGAAAUUCCAAUCGAGCCCGGAGAUAGCUGGUUCUCCCCGAAAUAGCUUUAGGGCUAGCCUCAAGGUGAGAGAUACGGAGGUAGAGCACUGAAUGUCCUAGGGGGUAUUGCAC
rnacentral:rRNA from 1 species